rnacentral:lncRNA from 1 species
GGAUCCCGGGCCACAUCCUCCUCACACUUUACACGCUAGUAAACCAGAUCUGCUUUUCAUCCUCAUGAGGAAGACUCAUCUAUUGCUUUCCUGGGGCUGCCAUAACAAACUACCAGAAACUGGCUUAAAACAACAGAAAUUUAUUCUCUCACGAAGUCUGAAGUCAAGGUAUCAGGGCCAGCUCCCUCUGCAGGCCCGAGAAGAGGAUCCUUCCUUGCCUCUUCCAGCUUCUGGUCGUUCACAAUCCUUGGUGUUCCUCAGUUUACCUUGCAGUUGGCGGUGAAUACAGAUGAGUAACCAGAAGAUGAUACUACCUAUGUGAGCACAGGAGAAUGCACAGACUGCUGAAGAAGCACAUAGGCAUGUCGUGCAGGCGACAAAAUCGGCCAGAUCCUGGAAUGCCCUGUGCUACGAUGUCUUGCCUCCACUAACGCCCUGACCCAAGCCAAGAGGAGACAAAAAUCCGCCACUAUAUUCCCUUAACACAGCUGUUUCAAGACAAGACUCUCUUGACGAGACUUUACAAAGGGUUAUAGGAUCAGAGUGAAAUAAACACAGAGGAGCAAUGUCUAGAAUCCGUCUCGUCCAGUAUGGUAACCACCAGUCACAUAGCCCUGGUGGUUUAGAUUUGGUGCUUUCACAGCCAUGGCCAGGGUUUGUUUCCAGGUGAGGGAACCACACCACCCUCUGUUGGUUAUACUGUGGCAGCUGUGUGUUGCUGUGACGCUGAAA